rnacentral:rRNA from 1 species
CAGCCGCCGCGGGAAAACGAAGGGUGCAAGCGUUAAUCGGAAUUACUGGGCGUAAAGCGCACGUAGGCGGCUUGGUAAGUUAGAGGUGAAAGCCCGGAGCUCAACUCCGGAAUUGCCUUUAAGACUGCCGAGCUAGCAGGUGAGAGAGGUAAGUGGAAUUCCGAGUGCAGAAGUGAAAUUCGUAGAUAUUCGGAAGAACACCAGUGGCGAAGGCGGCUUACUGGCUCAUACUGGACGCUGAGGUGCGAAAGCGUGGGGAGCAAACAGGAUUAGAUACCCGAGUAGUCCCUGUCUCUUAUAC